rnacentral:rRNA from 1 species
AUGGAUGUGGACACCUCAAGUACGUCUUGUGGAAGAGGCAAGAAUAAAAGGACGUGGACUUCGGAUGAGGAUGAUGAACUUAUUAAAGCCUUGUAUGAGUUGUCUUUGGACCCAAGGUGGAAGGCAGAUGGUAGCUUCAAAAAUGGAUACCUGGUGGUAUUGGAGAAGCACCUUGCUGAAAAGUGCACGGGUUGUGGUACCUCUGCAAUUCCACACAUUGAGUCAAGAGAGAGGCACUUUAGGACAAAAUUUUGUGCUCUUGAAGUAACGUUAUCCAAAAGUGGUUUCACAUGGGAUGGAAACUGGAAGAUGAUUCAAUGUGAGAAGGCACAGUAUGAAGCACAUUGUAAGAUUCAUAGUGAGGCAAAGGGAUUGUAUGGUGUCCCAUUUCCAUACUUUGAGCAGUUGGCUGCUAUUUAUGGCAAGGACAUAGCAACUGGAGAAAAUGCUGAAGGCUUUGGUGAGGCAGUGGGAAACUUGGAAAAUGAAAUUGCUAUAGAAGAAGAGGAACACGAGGAAGAGGACUUGAUCUCAACAGGGACAGCUAGACGGUCUGUCGAUACUCGCUCUAUGGAUGGAACUAGUUCCAAGAGGCAGAGGAAGGAACUAAGGCCAAAGAGGGUGACGGGACCAAGUGAUCCCUUUGAAGUGAUGCUUCAAGAUGUCAAUAGCCAGCUCAACAAUGUGACACAAUAUGUGGGUACAAUGGCACAAUCAUUGUCAGCAUCAAUGGCACGAGAAGCAGCCGCAAGAGGAUCCUUAGCAAAAAUGUAA